AUUGAACGCUGGCGGCAGGCCUAACACAUGCAAGUCGAACGAGUGGCGGACGGGUGAGUAAUGUCUGGGAAACUGCCCGAUGGAGGGGGAUAACUACUGGAAACGGUAGCUAAUACCGCAUACCAUCGGAUGUGCCAAGAUGGGAUUAGCUAGUAGGUGGGGUAAUGGCUCACCUAGGGGACGAUCCCUAGCUGGUCUGAGAGGAUGACCGGCCACAUUGGAACGGGACAACGGUCCGGACCCCAAGGGGGGGAAGCAGUGGGGAAUAUUGCACAAUGGGCGCAAGCCGGAGGCAGCCAUGCCGCGUGUAUGAGAAGGGCCUUCGGGUUGUAAAGUACUUUCAGCGGGGAGGCGUUACUCGCAGAAGAAGCACCGGCUAACUCCGUGCCAGCAGCCGCGGUAAUAC
rnacentral:rRNA from 1 species